UACGUAGGUGGCAAGCGUUGUCCGGGAUUUACUGGGCGUAAAGGGAGCGUAGGUGGAUAUUUAAGUGGGAUGUGAAAUACUCGGGCUUAACCUGAGUGCUGCAUUCCAAAACUGGAUAUCUAGAGUGCAGGAGAGGAAAGUAGAAUUCCUAGUGUAGCGGUGAAAUGCGUAGAGAUUAGGAAGAAUACCAGUGGCGAAGGCGACUUUCUGGACUGUAACUGACACUGAGGCUCGAAAGCGUGGGGAGCAAACAGG
rnacentral:rRNA from 1 species